rnacentral:rRNA from 1 species
UACAGAGGUCUCAAGCGUUGUUCGGAUUCAUUGGGCGUAAAGGGUGUGUAGGUGGCGCGCUAAGUCGGGUGUGAAAUUUCGGAGCUUAACUCCGAAACUGCAUUCGAUACUGGCGUGCUUGAGGACAGGAGAGGAACGCGGAAUUCCAGGUGUAGCGGUGAAAUGCGUAGAUAUCUGGAGGAACACCGGUGGCGAAGGCGGCGUUCUGGACUGUUUCUGACACUGAAAAACGAAAGCCAGGGGAGCAAACGGG